rnacentral:rRNA from 1 species
AUUGAACGCUGGCGGCAGGCCUAACACAUGCAAGUCGAACGGUAACAGGAAGAAGCUUGCUUCUUUGCUGACGAGUGGCGGACGGGUGAGUAAUGUCUGGGAAACUGCCUGAUGGAGGGGGAUAACUACUGGAAACGGUAGCUAAUACCGCAUAACGUCGCAAGACCAAAGAGGGGGACCUUCGGGCCUCUUGCCAUCGGAUGUGCCCGGAUGGGAUUAGCUAGUGGUUGGGGUAACGGCUCACCUAGGCGACGGUCCCUAGCUGGUCUGAGAGGUGGACCGGCCACACUGGAACGGGAACACGGUCCAGACUCCUACGGAAGGCAGCAGUGGGGAAUAUUGCAAAAUGGGCGCAAGCCUGAUGAAGCCAAGCCGCGUGUAUGAAGAAGGCCUUCGGGUUGUAAAGUACUUUCAGCGGGGAGGAAGGGAGUAAAGUUAAUACCUUUGCUCAUGGACGUUACCCGCAGAAGAAGCACCGGCUAACUCCGU